AAGGCCUUCGGGUUGUAAAGUACUUUCGCGGGGAGGAAGGGAGUAAAGUUAAUACCUUUGCUCAUUGACGUUACCCGCAAAAAAAGCACCGGCUAACUCCGUGCCAGCAGCCGCGGUAAUACGGAGGGUGCAAGCGUUAAUCGGAAUUACUGGGCGUAAAGCGCACGCAGGCGGUUUGUUAAGUCAAAUGUGAAAUCCCCGGGCUCAACCUGGGAACUGCAUCUGAUACUGGCAAGCUUGAGUCUCGUAAAGGGGGGUAGAAUUCCAGGUGUAGCGGUGAAAUGCGUAGAGAUCUGGAGGAAUACCGGUGGCGAAGGCGGCCCCCUGGACGAAAACUGACGCUCAGGUGCGAAAGCGUGGGGAGCAAACAGGAUUAAAUACCCUGGUAGUCCACGCCGUAAACAAUGUCGACUUGGAGGUUGUGCCCUUGAGGCGUG
rnacentral:rRNA from 1 species